GAUGAACGCUGGCGGCGUGCCUAAUACAUGCAAGUCGAGCGAACGGACGAGAAGCUUGCUUCUCUGAUGUUAGCGGCGGACGGGUGAGUAACACGUGGAUAACCUACCUAUAGGACUGGGAUAACUUCGGGAAACCGGAGCUAAUACCGGAUAAUAUUUUGAACCGCAUGGUUCAAAAGUGAAAGACGGUCUUGCUGUCACUUAUAGAUGGAUCCGCGCUGCAUUAGCUAGUUGGUAAGGUAACGGCUUACCAAGGCAACGAUGCAUAGCCGACCUGAGAGGGUGAUCGGCCACACUGGAACUGAGACACGGUCCAGACUCCUACGGGAGGCAGCAGUAGGGAAUCUUCCGCAAUGGGCGAAAGCCUGACGGAGCAAUGCCGCGUGAGUGAUGAAGGUCUUCGGAUCGUAAAACUCUGUUAUUAGGGAAGAACAUAUGUGUAAGUAACUGUGCACAUCUUGACGGUACCUAAUCAGAAAGCCACGGCUAACUACGUG
rnacentral:rRNA from 1 species